GAAAAGAGGGAGGAAAAGUGACUGGAAAUCGUGGCAGCAGCACCCCAGGACAUGUAAAGGUCUCUGCCUGCCUCCAAGUCCACCCUACCGGCUGCUGCUGCUGGAGGAGUCCUUGGGGGCUGCCCCAGUGCUGUUAAGUGAGUAAUAGAAAGGAAAGUGUGUGAAGAGGGCACCUCUCCUGCCUGGAUUGCGAAGGGAAAGGCUGUGGGUUGUGUGCACUUACCUCUCUGUGUGUCUGUGUGUGUGUAUGUUUCAGUGGCCAGUCAGUGUUUCUCUAUGUGAAAGUGAAGAGAAGAGCACUCAGCAGAGCCUCGGUUUUCACCGUACACUGCUCCACAUACAGUACAUGCAACCCGGAGAGACUGAAAACAUUCAUUUUUAUAUAAGGCAGCCUGCGAUUGGCUCAGGGACUGAGGGACAGGUUUGCCAGCCAUACAGCUGGCCUGUUACACCCAAAGAGCGAGAGACUCGCACGCACACACACACUCAUAUGCACACACUCACACACAAAGAUCAUCUCGUUUCUUUUACUAAUGUUUCAGGACCUGUAGACAGCCUAGCAGGGCAGGUAGAAGGACCAGCAAACUCAGAUAACCCUCUUCUGAUGUAUUCACGUGGAGACACUUGCUCCCAGCAGCUUGGGAUACACGUGUGGGUGGAUUUCAUAGCAGCAGCAAGACUCUAUCAACUGUUGAAUAUGACCCCCACAAGAGCACCUUGUAUUUGAAAAGACUUCACAGUUGUGUGUAAGAAGAUAAGGUGGGUCAGUUUUUUUGGCUUGCCAGUCGUAGGGUUGAUUCUAUGGCACAGUCCCACUCAAGAUGACGGGAAUGUUGUCUGAAUUAGGAAUGAACAAAGACAGCAGUAUUUGACUUUAAAAUGGUGUGAGUAUUUUUCACGGAUCAUCUUAACACGCUACGAAUAGAACAAAAUAUAUGUUAAAUACUGCCCUCCCCACUUUCCCAGCUUCAACCAUUUUAGGAGUGAAUGAUAAAACCCAGUUUAUUUAUGUAGCUGUGCUGUUACCUCCCUGCAAACAGUAUCCUGUGGUAAUCUGUCUCUGGUAAUCUAGAGCAGUCUAUGGGUCCCACAAGGUAGUGAGCACUCAACUCCUUGUGGUAGGUACUUAGCACCUCAAAAGAUGAGGCCUGAUCCAGAACCUUUUUGGAGUCAAUGGCAAGACUCCCAUUGACAUUACA
rnacentral:lncRNA from 1 species